ACGGGUGAGUAAUAUAUCGGAACGUGCCCAGUUGUGGGGGAUAACUGCUCGAAAGAGCAGCUAAUACCGCAUACGACCUGAGGGUGAAAGCGGGGGAUCGCAAGACCUCGCGCAAUUGGAGCGGCCGAUAUCAGAUUAGGUAGUUGGUGGGGUAAAGGCCCACCAAGCCAACGAUCUGUAGCUGGUCUGAGAGGACGACCAGCCACACUGGGACUGAGACACGGCCCAGACUCCUACGGGAGGCAGCAGUGGGGAAUUUUGGACAAUGGACGCAAGUCUGAUCCAGCCAUGCCGCGUGCGGGAAGAAGGCCUUCGGGUUGUAAACCGCUUUUGUCAGGGAAGAAAAGGGCGACUCUAAUACAGUUGCCUCAUGACGGUACCUGAAGAAUAAGCACCGGCUAACUACGUGCCAGCAGCCGCGGUAAUACGUAGGGUGCAAGCGUUAAUCGGAAUUACUGGGCGUAAAGCGUGCGCAGGCGGUUAUGCAAGACAGAGGUGAAAUCCCCGGGCUCAACCUGGGAACUGCCUUUGUGACUGCAUGACUAGAGUACGGUAGAGGGGGAUGGAAUUCCGCGUGUAGCAGUGAAAUGC
rnacentral:rRNA from 1 species